rnacentral:rRNA from 1 species
UACGUAGGGUGCAAGCGUUGUCCGGAAUUAUUGGGCGUAAAGAGCUCGUAGGCGGUCUGUCGCGUCGGCUGUGAAAACCUGGGGCUCAACUCCGGGCCUGCAGCCGAUACGGGCAGCCUAGAAUUCGGUAGGGGUGACUGGAAUUCCUGGUGUAGCGGUGAAAUGCGCAGAUAUCAGGAGGAACACCGGUGGCGAAGGCGGGUCUCUGGGCCGAUAUUGACGCUGAGGAGCGAAAGCGUGGGGAGCAAACAGG